rnacentral:piRNA from 1 species
CAAGCUACUAGACUCUACCCACUGU